rnacentral:rRNA from 1 species
GAUGAACGCUGGCGGCGUGCUUAACACAUGCAAGUCGAACGGAAAGGCCUGCUUUUCCCUGUGGUUUGCGGGUACUCGGGUGGCUAACGGGUGAGUAACUCGCGAGUGAUCUGCCCUCAACUUGGGUAUAAGCCUGGGAAACUGGGUCUAAUUCCCGAUAGGACUGCAGGGUGGUGCCUGUGGUGGCAAAUGAUAUUCUAGUGGUUGGGGAUGAGCUCGCGGCCUAUCAGCUUGUUGGUGGGGCAAUGGCCUACCAAGGCGGGGACGGGUAGCCGGCGUGAGAGGGUGGACGGCCGAAUUGGGACUGGGAUACGGCCCCGACGGCUAGGGGAGGCAGGGGUGGGGACGAAAGGGCCAUAAGCGGAAGCCUGAUGCAGCGACGGAGGGAGGGGGAUGACGGGAUUCGGGUUGUAAACUACUAGCGACCAAGAGGAGGCCACGUAGUUAGGCGGGUGGUGACGGUAGUGGUAGAAGAAGCACCGGCUAACUACGUG